AGGACCCUCCUCCAACAGAGACCCACGCCCCGGAGGUUAAAUCCCCUGUGAACGCUGUGGAAACGGAAGAUAAGAAGCCAGAUGAUCCGGUGGUGAAGGAGGAGCCCAUGGAAACAGAUAACAAAGCUGAUGUAGAGAAGGUGGAAGAGAAGACCCCUGCAGAGCCCCCCAGCGAGCCCCCAACCAUCAACCUAGAUGAGAAAGAAGAGAAGAAAGAGGAGGAAAAGAAGGACGUGGUGAUGCUGCAGAACGGGGAGACGCUGAAAGACCCACCUGAGGACCGCCACAAGAAAGCCCUGAAGCAGCGGUUCAUGUUCAAC